CCCAGCUUGUGCUCUGUCUCUCUCUCAAAGAAACAACAACAACAACAACAACAACAACAAUUUCCCUUCUGUCUCUAACAUUCAGGAAAUUCCAGUGUGGUGCCAGCGAGCUCCUUGACCACUCUCCGCCUUCAACAAUGAUUGGGAAUAAAUUGUUUUCCAUUGAAAGCAAUUGAUCCAGUGCCCCAAGACCACAUUUGGGAACGGCUUGUUCAGGGCAUUCCUCAACCAGGAGUUUCCUCGUGGAGCCAUUUAGACACCAAGGUGAGAGGUUGAGCCAGAGAAGUGACUUAGAGUUGGUGCCAUGUUUUCUACACUGAGCUAUCAUGAUAACAACACAUGGUGCCUUUCUGGCACGUUGGGUACAUAGUUCAUACUUCAUCCUCAACACGAUCACGAGAGGUUGUUAGAAAAGGAGCUGUUCCCCCCUCCCCAGUUAGCCAAUGAGAAGACAGAGUUUGGGGGGAGGCUCACAAAGCAAGUUCUAGAACUCCAUUUCUUCAGUUCCUAAUUUGCUGACUUUCCACGUGACUCUGGGCAGCCUAACAGACACUCCUCCUCUGUAUGAUGCCCUCAGAGACUUCCCAUUCCUGGAAUUGGUGCUUAGGGAAUGAUCUAGAUCAAGCCACUUAAAGACGGAGACGUUAGAUGGCACAGAUUAUACAAGGCCUUUCUCAGCAGAGUUCAUACCCUUUUGAUAGUUUGGAUAAUUAAUGGACUUCUAGAAGCCCGUAUUAUCUCAGACUCACAUAGCUUCUUUUGUACCCUGCCACUCACAACCGUCCUUUUCUUGUUGAGGUCCUUAGCACAGAUGCUCAAAACCAACAGCUCUCGCUCCACCUUAGCUAUUCAGAGUCUCUACCUUGGAAUGGGAAAUCUGUGUCAUCGUGAGCCCCUUAGCUUCACCUCCAACCGCCGUUGGCUUGUUGCCUUCUCUAAACCUGCAGAGAGGAAUUCCUUCUCUGGAUACACCUGCUGCUGGCAGGAGCUAAAGGCGAACGCGUACGUUUUCUUGCACAGAUUCUGGUGUUGAAGUACAGGGGGGUGGGGCAUGGGGGUGGGGAUCUGGCGCGCAACCCAGAAGGGUAGAGAAAACUGAAAUCACACCUCCCGUCUCUCCACAAAGGUUUGAUUCUCUUUAUGAGUAUGAUCCGCCAGUCCGUAAUCAAGGGUUAAUUUCACAGCUCACUGCUUCAUCUAGCAUAAUAUCCAUUCAGACUAAUUAAAUCUGUCUAAUAAUGUGAGUGUCUUUGUCUUUGUUCUUCCCCUUCUUUGUUUUACACCCUUCACAUCUCAUCUCCAGAACCACACGCCAUCACACUCUACUUGACAAGCAGAAUCCAUCCCUAAAAUUAAAACAUUCCUGACCUAUCUGCAAUGACAAGGCAGGCGAGCUUCACGGCGCUCCGGCCCAUGAAGGGAACUGACACAUUUGUUUUUAAUUUCAAAAGAGUAGAAAGUGAAGAUCUGACCCCGUCAAUCAAGCCCUGUGACAAGUUUAAUCAUUGGUGCCCCACAAAAAUCACGGCUAAAUAGGAAUGCAAAUACUGUAUCACAGGGCUCUUAUAAAUGCUAAUCAAGGAGAAGUAAUCAAGUGACAAUUUCACUGAUCUCUUUUCUGAAGAAGUCACUCAAUGCUCUGUCUCUGGGCCACAAAGAGAAGAGAACAGGACAAAAGGGAUGGAUGAGGGCCCCCCCCCCCCAACCUUCCUUUUAUUUUCCUUCCAGGACAUUUCUUUUUAAAGAGAGAAUUCGUUCUUUUGAUCCAUUGUUGAACUUUAAAGCGAGGAACUCGCGCAGCUAUAUGUCAAGUGUACUUUAUUAUCGGUACCCUGGCCGGGGAGAGAACGCACCGAAACUUCCGCUAAAAUAAAAAUCAUCAUUUGUCUUUGUCAUUAAUCUGUUCUCAAAUUCUCUUAUAUCUUAAAAGUGACUGACCUUCGCUGUGAGAGGGGAAGAAAAAAAAAGUUUUACAAGUAGUCGAAAAUCUGAAAAUUAUGAUCAUGGUAACUCAAAAAAAAAAAAAAAAAAAGAAGAAGAAGAAGAAGAAAAAUCCCUUUUAAAAACUUAAUCCAGGGUUGAUGAAGAAUUUAUCAUCACCAAGAAGUCCUGAGCCAGGCGUCUCUCCCCUCAGUGUGGAGGCUUCACUCUGCUCAGGGAGAGAAAUCAGAAAUUGGGGAGAUAUUUUUCAUGUACCCUUUUACACAGGACCUGAGAGCUUUGUGUGUUACCAAGCUUAGAACCGGAGGUUUUUUUUUUCUUUUCCUUGUCUCUAUUUUU